rnacentral:rRNA from 1 species
AGAGUUUGAUCCUGGCUCAGGAUGAACGCUAGCGGCAGGCCUAAUACAUGCAAGUCGAACGGGAUUGAGAGCUUGCUUUCAUGAGAGUGGCGUACGGGUGCGUAACGCGUAUGCAACCUACCUUCAUCAGGGGGAUAGCCCGAAGAAAUUCGGAUUAACACCGCAUAAAAACACAGCUUGGCAUCAAGCAAUGUUCAAAUAUUUAUAGGAUGAAGAUGGGCAUGCGUGUCAUUAGCUAGUUGGUAAGGUAAUGGCUUACCAAGGCUACGAUGACUAGGGGAUCUGAGAGGAUGACCCCCCACACUGGUACUGAGACACGGACCAGACUCCUACGGGAGGCAGCAGUAAGGAAUAUUGGUCAAUGGAGGCAACUCUGAACCAGCCAUGCCGCGUGCAGGAAGACUGCCUUAUGGGUUGUAAACUGCUUUUAUACGGGAAUAAACCUUAAUUCGUGAAUUAAGCUGAAUGUACCGUAAGAAUAAGGAUCGGCUAACUCCGUGCCAGCAGCCGCGGUAAUACGGAGGAUCCAAGCGUUAUCCGGAAUCAUUGGGUUUAAAGGGUCCGUAGGCGGUCAGGUAAGUCAGUGGUGAAAUCCCAUCGCUCAACGGUGGAACGGCCAUUGAUACUGUCUGACUUGAAUUAUUAGGAAGUAACUAGAAUAUGUAGUGUAGCGGUGAAAUGCUUAGAGAUUACAUGGAAUACCAAUUGCGAAGGCAGGUUACUACUAAUUGAUUGACGCUGAUGGACGAAAGCGUGGGUAGCGAACAGGAUUAGAUACCCUGGUAGUCCACGCCGUAAACGAUGGAUACUAGCUGUUGGGAGUGAUCUCAGUGGCUAAGCGAAAGUGAUAAGUAUCCCACCUGGGGAGUACGUUCGCAAGAAUGAAACUCAAAGGAAUUGACGGGGGCCCGCACAAGCGGUGG